ACGCGGAGAGCUUGCUCUCUGGCGACGAGUGGCGGACGGGUGAGUAAUACUUGGGAAUCUGCCCAGUAGUGGGGGACAACAUUCGGAAACGGAUGCUAAUACCGCAUACGCACUACGGUGGAAAGUGGGGGAUCUUCGGACCUCACGCUAUUGGAUGAGCCCAAGUCGGAUUAGCUUGUAGGUAGGGUAACGGCCUACCUAGGCGACGAUCCGUAGCUGGUCUGAGAGGACGAUCAGCCACACUGGGACUGAGACACGGCCCAGACUCCUACGGGAGGCAGCAGUGGGGAAUAUUGGACAAUGGGCGCAAGCCUGAUCCAGCAAUGCCGCGUGUGUGAAGAAGGCCUGCGGGUUGUAAAGCACUUUCAGUAGAGAAGAAAAGCCUAGGGUUAAUAACCCUGAGUCUUGACGUAACCUACAGAAGAAGCACCGGCUAACUCCGUGCCAGCAGCCGCGGUAAUACGGAGGGUGCGAGCGUUAAUCGGAAUUACUGGGCGUAAAGCGCGCGUAGGCGGUUUUGUAAGUCGGAUGUGAAAUCCCCGGGCUUAACCUGGGAACUGCAUUCGAUACUGCUUAACUAGAGUAUGGUAGAGGGAAGUGGAAUUUCCGGUGUAGCGGUGAAAUGCGUAGAUAUCGG
rnacentral:rRNA from 1 species